rnacentral:rRNA from 1 species
GAUGAACGCUGGCGGCGUGCCUAAUACAUGCAAGUCGAGCGAACGGACGAGAAGCUUGCUUUUCUGAUGUUAGCGGCGGACGGGUGAGUAACACGUGGAUAACCUACCUAUAAGACUGGAAUAACUUCGGGAAACCGGAGCUAAUACCGGAUAAUAUUUUGAACCGCAUGGUUCAAAAGUGAAAGACGGUCUUGCUGUCACUUAUAGAUGGAUCCGCGCUGCAUUAGCUAGUUGGUAAGGUAACGGCUUACCAAGGCAACGAUGCAUAGCCGACCUGAGAGGGUGAUCGGCCACACUGGAACUGAGACACGGUCCAGACUCCUACGGGAGGCAGCAGUAGGGAAUCUUCCGCAAUGGGCGAAAGCCUGACGGAGCAACGCCGCGUGAGUGAUGAAGGUCUUCGGAUCGUAAAACUCUGUUAUUAGGGAAGAACAUAUGUGUAAGUAACUGUGCACAUCUUGACGGUACCUAAUCAGAAAGCCACGGCUAACUACGUG